GAAAGUUUAGCCGAAAAGGGGCGGGGGAGCGGUUGGCUCUGCGCACGCGCAGUUUCCGUUCUUGAUCUCCUUUUGGCGCCCUGGGGCAGCGAGAGACCGUGAGAAAUUUCCCGGCGGCGCAGAAGAUGCGCGCCACUUCCGGUCGGGCUCCUAACAACGGGGGAGGCUGGUAACCAGGGUGGGGGGGAUGGCGGAGCGGGCGCCGGAGCCCGAGGCGGAGGCUGAGGCGGGCGGGGAGGCAGCCACCGAGGAGGGCGCAGCAGGCCGCAAGGCGCGGGGCCGGCCGCGACUCACGGAGUCGGACCGGGCCCGGCGACGGCUCGAGUCCCGGAAGAAGUACGACGUGCGGCGCGUGUACCUGGGCGAGGCGCACGGGCCCUGGGUGGACCUGCGGCGCCGCAGCGGCUGGAGCGACGCCAAGCUCGCUGCCUACCUCAUCUCUCUGGAGCGCGGCCAGCGGAGCGGCCGCCACGGGAAGCCUUGGGAGCAGGUCCCCAAAAAGCCAAAGCGGAAGAAAAGGCGGCGACGCAACGUGAACUGCCUGAAGAACGUGGUGAUCUGGUACGAGGACCACAAGCACCGCUGCCCGUAUGAGCCGCACCUGGCGGAGCUAGACCCCACCUUCGGCCUGUAUACCACGGCCGUGUGGCAGUGCGAAGCUGGCCACCGCUACUUCCAGGACCUGCACUCGCCCCUGAAGCCCCUCAGCGACUCAGACCCCGACAGUGACAAAGUGGGCAAUGGGCUGGUGGCCAGCAGCUCUGACUUGUCUGGCUCUGGCUCUGGCUCCGACUCUGAGGAGCGUCCUGAGGGCCAGCCAGUCAAGGGUGCAGCGGCGGCGGCGGCAGCAGUGACGCCCACCAGCGCGGUGGGCAGCAGCGGGCUUAUCACUCAGGAGGGCGUGCACAUCCCCUUUGACGUCCACCACGUGGAGAGCCUGGCCGAGCAGGGGACCCCGCUGUGCCCCAACCCAGCAGGCAGUGGGCCUGAAGCCCUGGAGACAGUGGUGUGCAUGCCAGUGCCCAUGCAAGUGGGUGCGGGCCCCGGCGCCCUCUUUGAGAACGUGCCUCAGGAGGCCCUGGGUGAGGUAGUAGCCAGCUGCCCCAUGCCAGGCAUGGUGCCUGGCUCACAGGUGAUCAUCAUCGCAGGCCCUGGCUACGACGCUCUCACAGCUGAGGGCAUUCACCUCAACAUGGCGGCAGGCAGCGGUGCCCCUGGCGGUGGCCUGGGCGAGGAGGUGCCCUGUGCCAUGAUGGAGGGCGUGGCGGCCUACACCCAGACAGAGCCCGAGGGCAGCCAGCCCAGCACCACGGAUGCCACUGCUGUAGUAGGCAUCGAGACCAAGAAAGAGAAGGAGGACCUGUGCUUGCUCAAGAAGGAGGAGAAAGAGGAGCCCGUAGCCCCGGAGCUGGCAAUGACGGUGCCUGAGAGCGCAGAGCCUGCAGCAGAGGUGGACGGUGGGGAGCUGGACGGCAGCGACAUGUCAGCCAUCAUCUACGAGAUCCCCAAGGAGCCCGAGAAGAGGCGGCGGAGCAAGCGGUCACGGGUGAUGGACGCUGACGGCCUGCUCGAGAUGUUCCACUGCCCAUACGAGGGCUGCAGCCAGGUUUAUGUGGCCCUCAGCAGCUUCCAGAGCCCCUUCAGUGGGCCUACGGGACCCACUCCUGCCCAUCUCGUCCCCAGAACCACGUCAACCUUGUUCAUCGGAAAGGAAAGACCAAAGUGUGUCCUCAUCCUGGCUGCGGCAAGAAGUUCUAUCUAUCCAACCACCUGCGGCGGCACAUGAUCAUCCAUUCAGGUGUCCGGGAAUUCACCUGUGAGACCUGCGGCAAGUCCUUUAAAAGGAAGAACCACCUGGAGGUACAUCGGCGCACUCACACCGGCGAGACCCCCCUGCAGUGUGAGAUCUGUGGCUACCAGUGCCGGCAGCGCGCGUCGCUCAACUGGCACAUGAAGAAGCACACGGCAGAGGUGCAGUACAACUUCACGUGUGAUCGCUGCGGGAAGCGCUUUGAGAAGCUGGACAGCGUCAAGUUCCACACGCUCAAAAGCCACCCAGACCACAAGCCCACUUGACCCACCUGACCACUGACCGCCCCUAUUUAUUCGUCCGCUCGGACACCAACCACGCCCAGGCCUGCCGGGGCCUGGACUGCUGCGAGGGCCGCCCAGACCGCGGGCCGGAAGGAGGCGCCCCCGCCCCACCCCAGGGCUGGGCCCCCUGGGCAGGUUCCCCACCCCGCCCCACCGCAUCCUUCUCUGAAGCUGGUGCCUGGGGCUGCAUUGCUGGAACUGUGUCAAGAGAGCAGAGCGAGAUUAAAGAGCGAGAAAGGAGAUGCCCUUUUCCUGGGCCUGAAUAA